AGUUCUGUUUCGGGUAUCUGGUGCGGGUAAUCCAACAUUUUUUUUUUUUUGGAUUUUUGGAAUCCAUCGAAACCGAAUAUGUUUGUAAUCCAUCCAAGCCCAAAAAGAGCCCAAAGACAUUAGAUAAAUGUAUGGUCCUCUUGAAAAUAGGGUUGGUCUCCAGAUCUUGGAUUAUUUUUCGAGGUUUGAAGAGCGAUGGGAAUGAGUUCGUUUUACAGCGAUAUAUACGAGGUGGUGGAUGAUCCAUCGCUGGAUUCAAUAAUCUCAUGGAGCAAAAGCAACAAGAGUUUUGUCAUCUGGGAUCCGAAAGAGCUAGUCGAAAAGAUUCUUCCGAGACUUCUUCACUACAAGUUGUCACACUUUAUAACCGAAAUUGAAAUCUAUGGAUUUGUAAGAAUUGAGGGGUCUGAGACAUGAGCAAUACUUCGUGAGAGGUAAACCUGAGCUUUUGACGAAGAUGCGUUACCAAGCUGUCUCGAAUAUGGUGAAGAAAGGUAGAGAAGAACAAGAGAAGAAGAUCUCUGUGGGAGAUCAGAUGAUGAGUGGCAGAUAUGCACCUAUUAGGUUCAACAAAUUUAAGAGAUCACCAAAGAAAUCAUCAAAGAAAUCAUUAAAGAAAGCUAAAGCUAUAACGCCACUGGAGACAAUCUACGAGUGAUAUGCCAUUAGACAAAACUUUGUCAUCAGUUGCUUUCUAUACUUUGCGAUGAAUGUUACUCCUCACAAAUUGUAUCUUCGCAAGCAAUCGUGUGUGUGUGUUUUUUUUUAUAUUCUUCGUUCGUGAUGCAUUGUGAUCCAUCAGGUCUUACACCUGAGAAACCAACCAUUAUAUCUGAAAGCUCGACUUACAUUCUAGCUGCCCGGUUCAAUGCUUCUCCCCUUGAGGAUUGAGGUCAAUCAUCAUCUAAAGAAUUCAUGUCAAUUGCUUUUUCUUAGUUUAUGUAUUAUUUUGUUUCUAUCAACCAUGACAUGUUUUGAGAUCAAAGUACUCAGAUGGAGGAGGUGGCGAAAUUGAUCAACGGGAAGGAAAUUGACUUGGGGGAGUUAAAGACGCAAGCUAAUCAAGCCCAUAUUUUAAAGCAUUACAAGAUAACUAAUCAAGAACUCGGGAUAUCCUCUCUAGGAGAUGCCAUUGUUUGCCGGAUCUCUGCACGCAACGCUUUGUAAAAGGAAAGACAUCUCUUCUUUUGUGUUCUUAUAGUUUUUUUUCUUUCUCAGUUAUACCUACAUGUGACAAUUUGUUUAGUAAUUCAUUGCAUCUUUUAUAACCCGAA